rnacentral:rRNA from 1 species
AAAGAAUUGCCCGUUUUUUCCGGAAUUUAUUGGGUUUAAGGGUCCGUAGGCGGAUCCGUAAGUCAGUGGUGAAAUCUCAUAGCUUAACUAUGAAACUGCCAUUGAUACUGCGGGUCUUGAGUAAGGUAGAAGUAGCUGGAAUAAGUAGUGUAGCGGUGAAAUGCAUAGAUAUUACUUAGAACACCAAUUGCGAAGGCAGGUUACUAUGUCUUAACUGACGCUGAUGGACGAAAGCGUGGGGAGCGAACAGGAUUAGAUACCCUGGUAGUCCACGCCGUAAACGAUGCUAACUCGUUUUUGGUUUUUCGGAAUCAGAGACUAAGCGAAAGUGAUAAGUUAGCCACCUGGGGAGUACGAACGCAAGUUUGAAACUCAAAGGAAUUGACGGGGGCCCGCACAAGCGGUGGAUUAUGUGGUUUAAUUCGAUGAUACGCGAGGAACCUUACCAAGACUUAAAUGGGAAUUGACAGAUUUAGAAAUAGAUCCUCCUUCGGGCAAUUUU